rnacentral:rRNA from 2 species
GAUGAACGCUGGCGGCGCGCCUAACACAUGCAAGUCGAACGAUUAAAGCACCUUCGGGUGUGUAUAAAGUGGCGAACGGCUGAGUAACACGUGGGCAACCUGCCCCUCUCAUUGGGAUAGCCACGGGAAACCGUGGAUAAUACCGAAUACUUCGAGACUUCCGCAUGGAAGACUCGAGAAGGCUCCGGCGGAGAGGGAUGGGCCCGCGGCCUGUUAGCUUGUUGGUGGGGUAAUGGCCUACCAAGGCAAUGAUGGGUAGCUGGGUUGAGAGACCGACCAGCCAGAUUGGGACUGAGACACGGCCCAGACUCCUACGGGAGGCAGCAGUGGGGAAUCUUGCACAAUGGGCGAAAGCCUGAUGCAGCGACGCCGCGUGCGGGAUGAAGGCCUUCGGGUUGUAAACCGCUUUCAGCAGGGACGAGGCGAAAGUGACGGUACCUGCAG